GCCAUAGCUCAGGGGUAGAGCAUUGGCUUUGUACACAGAAGGUUCUGGGUUCAAUCUCCGGUAUAUUCA